rnacentral:rRNA from 1 species
UACAGCGGGGGCUAGCGUUGUUCGGAAUUACUGGGCGUAAAGGGUGCGUAGGCUGUCUGCCAAGUCAGGUGUGAAAUCCCGGGGCUUAACCUCGGAAUUGCACUUGAAACUAGCAGGCUGGAGAACGAGAGAGGAUAGUAGAAUUCCUAGUGUAGGAGUGAAAUCCGUAGAUAUUAGGAGGAAUACCAGUGGCGAAGGCGGCUAUCUGGCUCGUUUCUGACGCUGAGGCACGAAAGCGUGGGGAUCAAACAGG